AUCUUUUUAGUAUAUACAAUAUAUUUGAUUUCCAAUCAAGAGAUCUAUAAUUUAAUCAUAGAAAAGAUA
rnacentral:tRNA from 1 species